AGUCUUCCACCUAUAGCUCAGCCAAUUCAAAUAUUGUUCUUACAAUAUGAGGAUGAAACUCAGCAAAAUUUUCAACAGAAGACACUACUACAACUGAAGACAUAGAUCCUUUCAUCGAAAAGGAUAAGAAAUAUGAAUGCACUGUUACAAUUACUGGAGUAAAAGAAAACUAGCCGUGGUGCUAUAGGGCUUGCACAAUUGAUAAUCAUAAUGUCAAGCUUGAGGAUAAUACAUUUACAUGCACCAAACAAGGCUGCACAAAUAGCAAAUUUGAUUGGAAGUACAAGAUACCAUUCAUAGCAACUGAUGGAACAUACACUCUUGAAUUCAUGGUUUUUGACAAGCGAGGAACAUAAUUACUUGGAAAAAAUGCGGACAUUCUUCGGAAGCAGUAUGACUUCAUGCAAACUCCUGCUGAAGUGCUUGCAUAUAUAGGACAUAAAUUCACCUUUAUAGUCAAGGUCUUAUACAAAAGCAUAGAUGCACCUGAACCUUCAUUUGAAGUUGUUGUCAUCAAAGAAAAAUUUGGAAAGCAGCCAAUCCUUCCUAAAUCGGAAGUAUACCAAGUGUUAUCAAUGGGAUCCACCUCAAGCACAUUGGCACUGCAUGAAAAUCUACCACCACUUAUUCCUAUAGGAUCCAAAACGAGUGACCAUCAGGUUACCCAACCCAUUAAAGAAAUAGAAAACAUGGACCUUGAUGAGGAAAUCGGCAACACUAAACAGCAACUCGAAGAAGAUAGUUCAAGCAAUGCUCCAAUCUAUCCAAGCUCCAAAAAGCAACGCUUGGAUAAUCACU